GCGGUCGCUUUGAGCAAAUGGCGCAUGAAAUGUGUUCUCCACUGCCCUCCGAAGGCAGGGGUUGCUGGUUCGAUCCCAGCCGGGCGCGCCA
rnacentral:tRNA from 2 species